rnacentral:lncRNA from 1 species
AGAAUUAUUUGGGAUAUAAAGCCUUGUGAACUUUUUGUAGGUCAGUUUUGGAAGUUUAUUUGGAAGAAUUAUCCAGUAAUAGAAUUCCAAUCCACAGAAGGCACUGCUGGCAAGAUAAGCAGCACAGGAACGUGUUUGCCAGGGAGAUCAUCAUGCUGUCAGAAGGCAUUAAAAGAGUCUAAGCAGCUUCAGAGCCUGCUAUGCAAGACAAGAUGUGCACACAAAGUCACUGCUUCUUCUCGGAGCAGCUUCAGAAAGAAACUGAUUCAAUGUGCAGCACACAUGGAGCCUAUAGAGGACAGCACAGAGAAUGCACAGGCAUUGUUGUGUUAUUCAGACAUUGGAAAGCAAACAUUAAACUUCCAUGAAGAUAGGACUUCUUCUCUGAAGACAAUAUUUUCAUUGCCAUGUGCAUACAAGAACAAAGAGCACCCAAGAUCUGCUGAGUUAAAUGAGUACCAGCCCACAGCUUUUGGAUUCUGUUUCACAGUUGUACAUCUCACAGUAAUUCCACAACCACUGGAGAUGCUGAUGUCCAGCAUCUUAAAUGACAUUAUUAUUUUUAUUUUUAUUUUUAUUUUUAUUUUUAUUUUUAGUUUUAGUUUUAGUUUUAGUUUUAGUUUUAGUUUUAUUUAUAAUAACAUAAUUAUUAUUAUUAUUAAUAAUAAUAGUAGUAAUAUUGAGAUACAUUAGCUCUGUAUGUCAGCCUAGUCUGAAACAUUAAUCUCAAUGAUGAUUGCCUUCAUUUUAAGCACAGAUGCAGAAGGAUAUUCAUUUAAUUUGCUAAAAAUGCCUUAAGUGGGUUUAUCCAAAGAGGUUAAGGAGUGUUAAAAAUGUAAAAAGCUACAUUUUUUAAUGUCAAAGAACAAAACAAUGCAGAUAAAUGGCAGUUCAGGCUGAAAUAGUACAGGAAAGCUCAGAUUCAAAAUCGACCAUUAGAAAUGAGAGUUGUUUUAUUGAUGAUUUUUACUGCAUCUGCUUUGUAAAAACGCAAAGGAUUAAAACCCAAGAUAUUUCUUCAACCCUGCUGCUGAAUUUUCUUUUCUGUUACUGUUGUGCAUGGAGAAAAUCAGUGAUGAUGACAAUUUUUUUGAUGCUUGGAAUUUAUUUACUUAAAAUCCAUCAUAUCUUUUUAUUGCUCAAGGUGGAGGGGAGGGAAGAAGUGAUCGUGUUUGCCUUGAUGCCAAGAGUGAUAGACACUCUAAUUUCUCUGGGGAAAUGACUAACUACACUCUACAAAAGCUUUGAUGGUUGUUUUAUAACCAGGAAAAGGAAGAGUUGAUACUUUUAAAAGUGCAUGAGAUAAACUCAGAAGUAAUGUGUUCUAGUUUGUUAGUGUCUAUUCAAUGAACGCUAGAAUUGUUCUUUCAUAAAAAUAAAUGGAAUUACAGAGAAGAUAACUGAUGGAAU